CAGCAGCUGGAACCAACAGGACUUGGUGGAAACAAAUGGAGGAGACAAGCCUGAUGGAUGUUUCCCCCCCCCCCCCCCUUUCAAGACAUUUCACAGCAGAUAACUGACACUGAUCAGAUGUUUUUGCGAACAUGUGAAUUUUGCUGGAAAACGAAUCUGACAUGCCAUAUUUGUGCACCUUGAGAUUUUAAUCAGUUAAAGAAAAUUUGAUGAGCUUUCAUUUAAGGGGUGUCCCAUCCUUCAAUGAAAAUAAUGGGAGAAGCUGUGUAAGAAAACAUUAACAUUGUUACCUAAUAUGGGAAAUGAAUUUGUGGACUGUACCCAGACUAAUGGAUAUGUUGACCCUCUAAGAUGUGAAAAUGAGCUUAAUUCUACACCAGACAGGAAUUGGUGGAAAAACCUGGAAAAGGAUGUUGACUUUCUAAGAUGUGGAAAUGAACAGCCACAGUCAGACAGGAAUUGGUGGAAGCAACUAGAAAAGACGAGACUGAUGGAUGAUGACCUCCCCAACAGCAAGACUUUUCCCCAUGGAGAACUGUCACUGAUCAGUGUGCUUUGAUGACAAUACCCAGUAGGAGACUCAGAUAAAGUCAUGUGGAUGUGCUUGACAUUAUGAAUGACAAGGAGCCCUCAGAAAAUAAAAGUAUUGAAGAGGCAUAUCCUUGUGAUCGCAUGUGGACAAAGACAAAGAUAGAUGACCAUGUAGAAAGCCAGAUUAUUUUGCACACACAAGCACAUCCAGUUUACAAUGUUAUAAUCCAAAACAAUUUUUUUUUUGAAACAUUUGUUUUGGAAAUGGGUGUCUGAGUUGUAAGAGGGUAUGGGGUCGCCCACUCAGACACGUGGGUUUUCUCCGGGGGCUCCGGUUUCCUCCCACACUGACCCCAUUCUUUUUCUCUGUGCCAAUGUAAAUAUAUUUUAUUAUCUAUUGUUUUGCUCUAAUGUUAUUUUAUGUAGUUUGUUAUAUUUUAUAUUAUAAAAUGUUUAGAUGAAGUAGUUGAAAGCUAGUUGUAAGUAGACCUUGUCGAUACCCUGGGGCAUUACUGGUUGGAACUUCGUGGAUCCUUGGCCGCUACGGUUGCCAGGCUGGCCUGGGGAGGAGAGGUUGAAAACGCAACUAGUUGUAGGCUGCUUUGUCUUUAAUAAUCUGUUUUCAUUUUAUCUAAAAUCAAAAAAUCAUAUAUGUUGCAGAAAUAAUGAUUGUUAAAUAUUAAAUUAGUAUUCCUGGAAUGUACAAAUUCUGUCAGCUACUGUACCAGUAAUAAUUUGUA